rnacentral:lncRNA from 10 species
GGGAAAGAGGUGGCAUCGGCGGUUCAAGACUGAGUUUUCUAUCUCUUCAGUGCCUCUUUCAACAAUGAAGAUCAAACCAGGUUUUGUGCAAAUAUCUGCUGAGUGAACUACUUAUUUGAAAAUACAUCAUUGGUUAAUAUUCCCUUUUGCUCAUUGAAAUCUCAAAGACUACAGACCCCGCACAAGACAUUCUGACAUUCCCGUCUUUGAAAUGAAUGACAGCAAUGAUAAAUAUGGCUCACCUCCAGAGAUACAGAUCUCACAACUUCAUAUUUUUAAUAUAAAUUAUUAAUCUGAGGUGUGGUGCAAUUCCAUUAGAUGAAAGAGAUCUACACAUUCAGAAGCACAUGAUUCUUCCCCCUUCCAUGAUUCCAGUGGCCAAUAGGACAGAAUGACAUUAAGGUAAUUGUGUAUUUAUAAAACAGAAUGGGGGAAAGCAGAACAAGAUGGCCAAAUAGAAUCUUCCAGUAAUCAUUCUCCCUGCAAGAACACCAAAAUGAGUA